rnacentral:rRNA from 1 species
AGAGUUUGAUCCUGGCUCAGGACGAACGCUGGCGGUGUGCUUCACACAUGCAAGUCGAGCGAAUGAAGUAGGUAGCUUGCUACUUAUGGAUUUAGCGGCGGACGGGUGAGUAAUAUAUAGGAAUCUGCCUUAGAGCGGGGAACAACAGACCGAAAGGUUUGCUAAUGCCCCAUAGGUAUGCAGUCUUCGGAUUGUAUAUUAAAGGAGUAAUCCACUCUAAGAUGAGCCUGUAUCCGAUUAGCUAGUUGGCGGGGUAAAGGCCCACCAAGGCUACGAUCGGUAGUUGGUCUGAGAGGAUGAUCAGCCACAAUGGGACUGAGACACGGCCCAUACUCCUACGGGAGGCAGCAGUGGGGAAUUUUACACAAUGGGGGAAACCCUGAUGUAGCGACACCGCGUGAACGAAGAAGCCUUUUGGGGUGUAAAGUUCUGUCGGCUGGAACGAAAAAAUGACGGUACCAGCAAAGGAAGCAUCGGCUAACUACGUGCCAGCAGCCGCGGUAAGACGUAGGAUGCAAGCGUUGUCCGGAUUUAUUGGGCGUAAAGAGUUCGUAGGCGGUUUGUUAAGUCUGAUGUUAAAGACCGGGGCUCAACCUCGGAAAUGCAUUGGAUACUGGCAGACUGGAGUGCAGUAGAGGCUAGUGGAAUUCCCAGUGUAGCGGUGAAAUGCGUAGA